GUGCCCUAAACCAAUCACCUUCCAAAGGGAUGAGGUGGCUUUUGGAGCCAUUUUGGAUUUAACUCAUGACUGAAGGAUUAAUCUACUAUGAGUUUCUUCUCUAUUCCCAGGGAGCACCGAUUUAAGCUGUUCUUUUUUCAGGAUAAGAAGAACCUAGAAAGAAUAUCUGGAAGGAGUUCCCAGAACCC
rnacentral:lncRNA from 1 species